ACUCAAAGGAAUUGACGGGGGCCCGCACAAGCGGUGGAACAUGUGGUUUAAUUCGAUGCUACGCGAAAAACCUUACCUAGACUUGACAUCCCGCGCUACCCUAGGAAACUAGGGGUUCCCUUCGGGGACGCGGUGACAGGUGCUGCAUGGCUGUCGUCAGCUCGUGUUGUGAGAUGUUGGGUUAAGUCCCGCAACGAGCGCAACCCUCGCCCUUAGUUACCAGCAUUAAGUUGGGCACUCUAAGGGGACCGCUUGGCUAUAAGCCAGAGGAAGGUGGGGAUGACGUCAAGUCCUCAUGGCCUUUAUGUCUAGGGCAACACACGUGUUACAAUGGGAAUUACAGAGCGCAGCAAGCCGGCGACGGCGAGCAAAUCGCAAAAAGGUUCCCACAGUACGGAUUGGAGUCUGCAACUCGACUCCAUGAAGCUGGAAUCGCUAGUAAUCGUCGAUCAGCACGCGACGGUGAAUACGUUCCCGGGCCUUGUACACACCGCCCGU
rnacentral:rRNA from 1 species